rnacentral:RNase_P_RNA from 1 species
GGCCGCGCGGUAUGUUGCCGAAAGGUAUUACCGUGAGGAAAGUCCGGGCUUCACAGGGCAGGAUAGUUGAUAACGUCAACCGCAGGCGACUGCCGGGAAAGUGCAACAGAAAUAUACCGCCCGCAAGGGUAAGGAUGGAAAGGCGAGGUAAGAGCUCACCCACUCCUAUGGUGACAUAGGUUUGCUGUAAACCCUAUCCGAAGCAACACCGUAUGGGGGCGUCUGCCCGACGUAUGCCCCCGGGUGGCACGGGAGUUUUCUCCCGAAGCUCGCCGGUGACGGAGAGCGAAGAUUGAUGGCCGUUCACGACAGAACCCGGCUUACAGGUGGAGU